AUUUAACUAGAUUUGUUCGUUAAUUUUUUGACCAAUAGUAACGCAGCAUUUAAAUAUGGCGCGUCCUUCUAUUCGAAGGUGCCGGGAGGAUGGAAUGGAGCUAAUGAAUAAAAUGGUUUAAAUUUUUUGUUUUAGGUUAAAUACUCUGCCGGAUCAUUGAUUUAACUAGAAUAGACUGGACACUUUUUAGGCAACCAGCGCUACAAUCUUGUUCGUUGUCCGAAACGUGCGUGAGUUUGGUUAUAUAGGUUAUAAUUAAUGUUGACAGAAACAGAAAGUGUUACCCAUAUAUAUACACAAGAAGAAAUUAAGGAAGGAAAAGUAAAAGAUGAAACUGAAGACUGAAACGAAAUUUCAACCUAAGGGACAAAAUGUGACACAAGUUUUAAAGUCAAGGUGACUACUGUUAAGUCGGAGAACAGAGACAAUUGUUUAAAUAAAAGGAGUUGGAAUAUAAAAAUAAGAUUUGGUUGUUUGAUGAAAACAUUACAAUGAAAACGUGUGACACAGGGCAUGUGAAGAAAUAAUUAUGAUGCUCAAGCAUUUUCAACAUGAGAUUAAACAAAAUCAACUAUUUGCUUUGGUCAAAAAUGUGACAACAUUAGCUCAAGAUAAGUGUGGAAAAGUUCAUAGUUCAUCUCUGGCAGUUAUCGACAAGAUUCUGGAAUAUGUAAUAUAUCAUCUGCUGCAAAAUAUAAGGGCUCAUUAAGACCGAUUUUCUUCAACCACAAGAGGACAACAAUGCCAACACCACAAAUAAUAGAACAUCAGAUAUUGGACAACAUAGAAUUAUAUAAUGUACAAAAUGGUUCCACACCUAUACACAUAUUAGGCACAAUUAUUUAAAAUAGGCAAUUCCAUUGUAUUAAUUAUAUUAUACUUUAGAUAAAUUCUAUUGUCAUUGUCAAUAAUAAGGUUUAUAACCUGCUGCUCCUUCAAACAUUGGGGUUGUUAAUUUGACAAUUUUUUGUGCUGUCAUAACUUAAGUAUUUGAAAUUGGCUUAACAUGAUUAAAAAUUAUUGUCAAUACUUCAACACUCCCUAAAUGGAAAAUAUUUGCACUUUGCUUAACUAUGCUUAUUAAGGAAGUAAUUACUACUUAAAAUUCAUCUUUAUUGUUGUGAUUAGAGCGGAAAACAAAUCUAUAUGUUUUUGUAAAAGUUAUGCGUUUUCUAUGUUUUUUCUGGAUUUGAUAAAUAUUCCGCUAUAAAAGUUUCGAAUAAAAUCUGCUGAAACCACUGAAACUUUGAAAGGUUUUAUAAAAUUGAGUGGGGUGAAAAAAAGAUGGUACCGAAGUACUGAAAUCUCCCCAAUAACGAUUCUGUUCUAACCAAUAGGGUUUGCUGUGACGAAUGGAAGAAUUUUUGGUCAGAAAAAUCGGUUGUGGAAAAAUUAAAAUUUCGGCAUUCAAGGGUAAAAACCAGUCUUUAUUUCCUUUAGAGAGUAUAAUUUCUACAACGGAGUGACGGUGAUGUAUGCCUUGCUUAUGAAUAGUUCUUAUUGUAGUUGAACAUACCCUCACCUUUGCAGCAAAAUUCUAGGUGCGUUGAAACCCAGAUUCUCCUUGUAUUCGUUAUCCUGAUGGUCACCCCCGCAUUUCAUGCAGGCCGGGUCCUCCAUGCAGUACUUCGCUACGUGUCCAAACCUGCAGCAUUUGAACCAGAUUAAGACUUGUAUGUGUUCCUCGAAUUAUACGUUUAUUCGAGUCGAGAGUCGCCCUUUCUUUCCUGAUUAGAUAUGUGAAUGCAGUAGGCUACGUUUCAAUUAUUACAUUCUCCUUGUAGCAGUUUAUGGUUUCUCUUACCGCUAGAAUUUUUGUUAUUAAUAUUUUCCUCUGUGAGUGUCUGGUUUUUAUCUUUGUUUUGACACAGUAAUUUUUAUAAGAUGUCCUCUUUAUUGUAUUCUUUUUCUGUCAUUGUCACUGCCCAUUUGAUCAUACAAGCGUUCAAAGUGUUAAACAACUUUCUCACGUUUGCCCUGAUAAUACCCUGUUCUUCUCUGUUAAACUGUAUCUUAUUGCAGCUAUAUCUGGUAAUUGCGUCCUCUGCAACUGAACCCUUUAAACACUCUUUAACUAGAAUCAAUAUCUGUUCCACUUCCACAUUAUUUACUUUACAGAAAUUUUCGAAAGAUUUAAUAAAUUGCAAAGGCAACUCGUUUAUACUAGAAUCAGAAAACACUGGUUUUUCAAUAUCUAAAGUAAGUGAAGAUGAAAGUGAACGAUUAUCCAAAGCCAUGACGAUACUACGACAGUCCGUUCCAGAAAAAAAAACCUGAUCCCCUUUUUUUAUGCGUAACAUGUUUAAUAUGACACUCGAACGGAUGGAUGGAAGUAGACGGAAAAAAUCUACUGACCUGCUCUUUCGUUUGGAACCGUUGCAAUCUUUCGUGAGGUGUUUCUUUGUUCAUUUUAUGCAUCUUGGUGGGUUGGCACCUGUGACACACCGGGUAUUUCCUUGGUUUUAUGUACUUUUGCCAGGUUCAAAGUAUUAUUUAUGUUUUUAUGAUUUAGUUAUUUUUUGUGGAUUUCUUUGUGAUUUACUAUUUCUUUUGUGAUUUUACGUUUACUUACUGCGUUUGAUGGGGUGGUGUUUUUCGCUUAGCUGUUUUCUUAGGUGUGUCUUGUCAUUUUAUAGUUCCUUGAUUUUUUUCUUCUAGCUCGCAGAUUUUUUUUAAUAACUUUCCCACUAAUUCUUUAUCGAUUUUUAUUUCACUAGGCGUCCCAUAUGGUUUUCUGUGUCCAUCUCUUCCUUACUGUCUUGUGUUUCUUCCGUGAGAUUUAUUUUUUGAGCCUGUUUGGCUUUUUUCUGUGGAUUUUGAACAUUUUCGGUCUCGGAGUUUUUCCGGACCAUGAAAAGCAUCCGAUGCUCUCUGUUCUGUCUCGGAUGUCACUUCACCGUUCGGUGUACGUCGUCAUGCUACCUAAAACUAGCGGUAAAGCUGCCAAAAAGGCUGAAGAGGCUCAAAAGAACAUCUCCAAAAGCGACAAGAAAAAGAAGCGCAGGGUAAUCUACAUUUAAAAAGUGUUAAAACAGGUCCAUCCCGACACCGGUAUUGUUUCAAGUGGAGAAUGAAGAAGUUGGGAACUCUGAUAUACAAGGGACUAGGAAGAGAGACAUUAUUUGUAAUGAAUAUUUUGUAACAUAUAUGUUUUGCCGCCUCUAUAAUUUUUUUGUUUUCAUACACUAAUCUUUUUCUAUUCCACACAUCCCUAAGCCAUCUUGAACUUCCCACGAAACUUGUACGUCAAUAAUUAAAGAACGAAUGUAAUCCAGCUGGACUACCAUAUCCUGCUUAUAGAGGGUACCAUCUUUUUUCCCACAACAGUAAUCAUAUCAAUUUGCACAUUUCGUUGUGGCGGCGAAUUCUUUCAUGAUGCACUAUUGGACAUCUUUGUAAGAUGUGUGACGGGGAUUCAACCCUAUUACACCCUGCCCUUCAUUGACGAGGAUUUAUAUGGUUAGCUGGUAAACAAUUACCAUGUGGGUGAAUUGCUUGUACAUAGUCUCGCCCAGACCAAGCAACUGGGAAUGAUCAAAACCAGAUAGAGUUUUACCAACGAUACUGAUAUUUUGAAGGGUAUAUUGAAUCAUAGGAAUAAAAUGAUUUUUGAUGAUCAGAAGCUUUUGGUCAGGUUUGAGAGGUGCAUGGCUUGUAUUUUUCAGCCAUGUAGAGAGGUUAUGAGGAGUGGGUUUUAGUACCCCACCAAUGCCAAACCUAUGACCGAGAUACUUAAAAUUUUUAGUUGAACUAAUCAUGGAGAUUCGUAUAUUAUCAAUUUUAUACAUUUUCAAACAAUUCAGACUCGUGGCCCUUUUUCAACAUAUUAUUCUAAAAUUAAUAAAUUUAUUAAGGCACCGUCCGAUUGUAUAAAACCUCUUUGAUGUGUUGAUAAUUUUACUGAUGAUUUAAUCCGUGAAUUUAUGUCUCUGGGCGCAGAACCGAUGUUAAUAUGACGCUAAUUCUAUGGAAGUUUGAGUUUUUCAUUGUUUAAUACAAGGAUUGUUCUUAACGAGAGUCAAAGUAGAGGGUGGA